UGACAAAACCAAACACACACACAGCAACAAUGCAGGCGCUGCUCUCUUUAACACACACAUACACCCUUACACACAUACAUAUACACACACACCAGGGCGCAGGUUGGACCAUCCGUACCAGAGACCACAAAACCCCCGAACGGAGGCGCAGCCUAGAAAUAAAGGGGGCGUUGGAGGCUGAAACUGCCCCAAACGUUGGAGCAGGAGAGAGAGAGGGAGAGAGACAGAGAGACAGAGAAAGAGAGAGAUAGGCUGAAACACGCGCCACCUAUCUUCACGGGGAGGGAUAAUUGAGGAGGACCAAACGUGAGCAUCUUCAGGGAACCGUGAGAACUUUUUCCCUGCUUUCUUUUCUCUUUCCCCCCUCCUCCCGUCUCUCCUUCCCCUUCUCUCCCUGUCUUUUACGAGGCGAAAGGAUACGAAAUGGCGACCGAACCGCUAAGUAAACAGCUAAGCUAAUGUGAGGAGAGAGAAAGUUGGGACUGCCUCAGCCUCUUCGCAAAACAAACGACUUAAAAACGCACACAAGCGUAGAAUCGCAGCUGGCGACACUUCAGAGCUUCAAAAUCAGGGAUGGAGUGGAAAAAAGAGCAGACGCCGCUCGCCCGCCAAUCAGACCGGAGCGCGGGCGGGAAAAGGUGCCUCAACAUCCUCAACAUCUGGAGCUGUGGAGGCGGCAGCUGCGGGAGGGGGAGCGCCACUUAAGGGGACCAGGACGUAGAUCUUCACAAAGGCGCAGCAGUCCCGGUGGAGCAGCGGAGUCUUCGCUACUGGAGGAUCCUCAGAAAGCAUCUCCCCUUCCUGCAAGUACUGGAUUACAUGCAUAUCAUUAGGCUUCAAUUCACACCAAGGCAAAGUAUUUCUGCUGGAUUUAAAGAGUGUCUGUUCCCCUUUGGCUCUCCGACCAGCAGAGAAAGGAAGUCCAUGAGAAAGUCCCAGAAAAUCUCACAUCUGCAGCAGGGAUGGAGCAGAGUACACACAGGUGGUAGGAAAAGAGCGAGCGAUAAAGAGAGAGAGCGAGAAAGAGUGAGAGAGAGAGAGAGAGAGGGGGGAAAGAAAGUUAUUUCCUGUCUCUGAGAACAUCCUUAGAGUGUUUUCUCUCCUUCUUUUUCUCUCUUUCUGUCACACACAUGCACACACCCUCUCUCUCACACACACACACACACACACACACACACACAUUCUUUAUGGUGGCUGAGUAAUCUUAACCCUUUGAACUCCAUAAUGCUGUAUGUGGGCCAGCUCUUCAAAAUUACAUUAACAAGUUAUAUAUAAUUUAUUGUAGUAGUAACUGAAUGAAUCGUAGUAGUUACUCGAUAAUUGAUAAAUAAUUCAUCGCGGUUAUUGGAUAAUUCAUAGUAGUUACACAAAAAAGGUUCUGUACAGUACCAAAAAAGGUUCUAUGACUUACAUAGCAGAACACUUUUUGAUUGUAAUAUAGAGCUAUUCUUUAAAAGUUUGCUAAAGGACUAUAUACUACAGGUUUGAAAUCAUUGAAAGAACCAGUUCACCAUGCAUAGAGCAAUUUAUGCAUUUUGCAUUGUUCUUUGAGUGUUCAUGGUUCUAUAUUUAGCCAUUGUCUUUACUAAAGAACCCUUGAAGAACCAUUUUAGAGGGUGUACUAAAUAAUUCAUGGUAGUUUACAGUACCAGUUACCAGUGAAGGUUGGCAAUAUGAUAAAAAUAUAAUCAUUCUACUUCAAGACAGUUUCAUAACAAACAUUAUGUGUCAAGAUAUUACAUUUUUCUGAUGUUUGAUUAGUUGGAACAGAAAAAAUCCCCAGUAGUGCCACAUUUAUUUAAGUAUUAUUAACAUGGAUAUGAAUGCAGUGAUUUUUAUUCAACGUUUCGCUUACCGCGCUGCACAAAAUCCAAUUAAUUAGUACCAAUUAUGCUCUCUUUGUAAUGAAACAUAUCCAUGAUAUUCCCAGAAAAGCAUAUUGUGAAGUAGUGUGACACAAUUUGUCAGUAAAUAUCACCACAUUGCCCACACCUGCCUAUUAAAGAGCCUGUUAAUCAAUAAUAGAUGUAGUUUAAAGGGUUAAAUUGAAAUUCUGCCUACCUCAUAUACAGGUGUAUUGACCUGCAGUAUAAAUCAUAGAAUAGUAAUCGCAUUGACUAAAGGCUAAAGAGCUAAAUAUGUCCAAGCUGCUCAGUAAAGGCAUUAAGAAAUUAGCUAGAGGGAUAAAAGCACACGCACACAUCCGAUCUGAUAGCUAGACCCGUCAGUUUUUUUUUCUUUCCUUUCCCGCGGCCUCCAGUCUGUUUCCUCACGGCUAAUGUGAGGGAUCAUUACAUACCGCCUGGGCCAGAACAGCACGAGGAAUACAAGCGCCGAUUCGAUUUGCAUAAUUAUCACCUGCGCGUGUGCAUUUACAUCAUCACUUAUGAGCCAAAAAAGCAGACAGCGUUCACAGCUCAGAACGGGCUCCAAAUACACGUCCGUGCCGCGCAUAUUAUGCAUGUAGUAAUACCUAAUGCUUUAAGAAUUAUUAAUGAUAUUCUGAUAGUCUGUUUAAUGAAUGACACACUCAGGCACACGCAAAAAUGUAAAGUGGGUGAUUUGAAUGAGCAGAUUCGAGAUUUCUGGAUGCCGUGUGCGUAUGUGUGUCUGUUCUUAAGCUCAGCCCGGAAUGCGCUAUUUCUCACCAGAGCCAAGUCUGUCAUAUCCCACUUGCCAGAAUUUGCGCUCUACAAAUACAAGCACGCACCCACACAAACCGUACAUACUCGCGCACACAUAGCAAAUAAAAAAGAGAGAGGGGGGAAAAAAUGAAAGAAAAAAAAAAACAUGACAGACUGAUGGACAAUUAGAGAACACAGCGAGUGUUUGUGAUCUCAAAGAGCGGGGCACCAUCUCAAAGUCUCUCGAACAUAUAAAAACGAGCUUUCGUUUACAUUCGCUGUAGGCCAGGCAGACAGCAAAUCAAAACCAGCGUCAGAUGUUGCUCAGCGUAGUGCAUCUGAAAGCCCGCUGAACUGGCGACGGGGCCGCAUUAGGCAUUCCGCAGCUACACAUGCCCACAUCAAAUAACGUAUUGAUUUUAUUAUGCCACCGCUAUUAGAAGGCAAGAGUGGGACUCGCAACACAGAAUGACCACAUUAUCGGCCAACUCUCUGCAUUUACGCAGAUCAAGGCGUGCGAUAUGCUCAGAAAAAAAGAGGAUUCAUGAUGUACUCUUUUCUCCCUUCUUCUUCCCUCCCUCUCUCUCUCUCUUUCUCUCUCUCUCUCUCUCUGUAAAGAGGUCAAGUCCCCGGCGAUGCGAAAGUACCAGAUUGGAAGCCUCAAAACCAGCAGCAUUUUUGACUAUUUUGAUGUUCCAGCUUUGUGAAGCAAAGCCACAAGAGUAGAGGCAGAAAACACACCCAAUUAAUUCUGACAUUGACAGGAUUUCUCUCUCUCUCUCUCUCUCUCUCUCUCUCUCUGUCUCUCUCCGUCUCUCUCUGCAGCCUCCCGGCCUAAAAAAGGUAAGCACAGGGAAAAAAAAACAGGAAAACUUUGACUCAGGGCAGAUGACUUAUCACUCGCCGAAAUUAAUAAUUGACUGCCGUUAAGAUGAAUAAUUAAUCAAGCACUGGAAUAAUUGUUGUAUCUCUAAUCUCUACACACAUUUGCAUAUGAGUCUUUUUAAAGCAAGCCUCUAUAUAUAUAUAUGUGUGUGUGUGCGUGUGUGAGAGGAUUCUCUCAGGAGCACAGAGAUAUAAUUAAUAACGCUAACUUGAGUCUCUCUGCCCAAGUGUGGGGUUAGCAUUCCAGCUAGAGUUAAGAAAAAUCAAUAAAGUACAUUUGAUGAAUAUGACUGGACAGUUUUUUGUUUUGAUGGGAUCAUACAGUGCGCUGUAUUCAAGCGGCAGCAUCGUUAGUAGAGCUGUUACUGUGCUUGUUAUUAUACAUAUUACAGUUCUGUGAGUUCGUGUAGACGCUAUAAAAGCAGGCAGGCUGUAGCCACAGGGGGCGAGAGAGGGCGAGAGGUGGAGGUCUAUGUGGACCUACAGAGAGUAAUAAUUAAAAGGGAGAAUAAUAUGGUUGUAAUAAAGCACAACAGUGACUUACAUAACUUGCAGUUUUUUGGAAUAAUAUAAUGUGAUCUUUGUGUUCAUUCAUCAGCAUUUUAUGUAAGUGAAGAAAUAACAGUCACAUGUUUUCUCUCUCUCUCUCUCUCUCUCUCUCUCUCUCUCUCUCUCUCCCUCCCUCUCUCGGUCAUCUACACACAAGCUUCAGUAAGAACCGUGUGUAUGUCCUGCUAGCAUUUGACUAUGAGUAAUAUUUGAUUUUUGACUUCUGAAAGUUUCUGUUUUAACACAAGGACCAUAUGCCCCUCAGUAGACUGUGCUAAAACUCUGCAAUUUGAUAGAACUGAUCUAAGUAAGCUUUUUUAUAGAACUGCUAUAACUAUAGUCUAUAACUCAGCAGAAAAAUGCAGAAUACUAGUACAAACAAGCAUAAAGCUAGUACAUCAGCCCUAUGGCUUAGCAAAGAAAUAGGCUUCAGUAAGCAGAGCUGUCAUUACUGUAAUGUGAUUACCUUUUCUUGUAAUGCAUUACAGUUCAAAAUUUUGCAGUGACAUUACAGUUACUGACUUAACAAAAAUGAUACUUGCAUUACUCAUAUCGUCGCUGUCUGAACAAAAUCUCAUACCUCCAAAUGAGCAACUUUACAGAAGAAGGGAAAACGCUCUUAACUGUUAACAGAAUUUUAUCUUUCUUUUUCAAGUAACUGUGGACCAUUUCUAGUCAUCUGCUCAAUGUACAAUUGUAAGACAAUGUACUGGGGAACUAAGGUUUUUGAAUUAAGUAAAAAAUGACAAAAAAUGGCAGUAGAAAAUUUUGUUGCGGCUGUGACAAUAUGUCUCAAAGGGAGCAAUAUUAAUAAUAAUUAUGUGCAAUGCAUUUAAAGCAUGCAUUUCCUCUAUGUAGAUUUUUCGUAUGUGCCUACAAUAGCAGACUGCGCUAGUUUGACUGGGAAUAUAGUUAUAGCGUGAGAAACGCUGUAACUCCACACACAGUCUGUCAAACAUCUAAUCUAUGCUAAUGUAAAACUGAUGGAUAAAGAUCCUCAUGCUGAAGAGGAGGAGAAGAGAGCCCCUAAACAGACCAGACAUGUUUUACAGAGCCCUAUAAGCUAUACAUUGUUUAUUAAAGAUAUUAUGUCGAAGCAGUUGCUUUGGAACUGCAUUACUAUUGGGUUUUCCCCUAUACAGAGUAACAUAGAAGUAAAGUAAAGAGUGAUUAGGUUAUGUUCAUACUUAACAAAGUUAUUCCAAUACAGUUUGAGAAAAGUAAAUUGUAACUGGUUACUUUUUUAGCACGUAGUAAUGGACUACAUGUAAUGUACCAUUUUUAAAUGUAAUUAAAAAAAGAAAUGAGUACUGGAUAUAAGUGUACCACAAAUAACCAGUCAUCUGUCACCAGCUCUCUCUCUCUCUCUCUCUCUCUCUCUCUCUCUCUAUCUCUCUCUAUCUCUGUCUCUCUGUCUCUCUCCAAUCCCAUCUUCAUUUGGCUGGUUCUUUAACAGGCCGAACUGAAGGGAGUUGAUUCCCCUUUGAUCCUGACGCUUGUUGUAAGAGAGAACGGCUUGAAGAGAGCGUUUGGCUACAAUUGACUGCUACAAUUAAGGCAUGAUCAGAGGCCCAGAGGGCUGCACUUAACCGCCACAUCUACAUGUCAGCUUGGUGAAUUAAAAAAAAAAAAAAAGCAAAAGAAAAAAGAGGCAAAAAAUAUGCAGCGCUGGAUUUUUUUCUCUCUUUAUUU